rnacentral:sRNA from 1 species
UACCGGUCCAGUUCCGGAUAUUCCGGAGC